UUAGGCACCAGAAUAGUUCGAAUUACGUGGCGCCCGAGGGUCAUUUAAACAAUAAAACGAGACUGUAUAGGAAAACAAAGCCGAAUACAAGAAUGCACUUAAGGAAUUUGAAGAAAUCUCAAGAGUCUUAACAUAAUAUUAUGAGAAAAAGUCCAAUAGAAAAUACGAUGAAUUGAAGCAGAUAUAAAAAUGAGGUGUUACUGCGUGAGAUCGAUCGGUCUAAAGUUUGGUAGGCCUGUGAAAGGAUUUUAGGAAAUAUAUACAGACUAGAUGGAAUGAAGACGGAAGACCUGGCGUUAUAGUGACUUUUAAUACGGACCGUAAGCAGAAAAGUGGAAGAGGAGAAUUUUAACUUUUUUAGAAACAGGUAAAAAUCGAUAAGGUACUAAUCGUAUAAUAAAUGAUCGAUGCGUAUUUAAAUUAGGCACCUGACCAAACUUAAUUUAAAUGGAACACUGUAUCGAAUAUAAGUAUACACUUUUUAUUAUUACAUGAUAUUACAGU